UGAGCACAAGGGUUGCCCGUGCGAUGGUGCAGCCGGGAUCCUUUAUGGCCAGGGGCUUCUGAGCAUGGUGAUGGCGAGGCAUCUUCCCUGUUCUUCAGCUGGUUUUGAGGCUGGAAUACUCACUCUCUGAUGUUUAAGCAGCUUCUGAAGGAUGCAGACGCAGGCAUUGAGUGCUGCCUUGCUAACCAGGAGCAGACUUCUCAAAAGCCUGUGGAGGAGGCGUAGGAUCUUCAAGCAGAUUCUGGCAGCUGGAGGUUCCCGAUAGCAGGUGAUGCUGCAGACGCGGUGCUUGUACAGCUCUAGAGGGUUCUGCCUCUCUUGGCUGAAUGUUUGCACUGUUUAGGCUCAUGCUGAUAAACUUCUAAAUAUUUGGGGGGGGUUUUAUUUGUUUUUUA
rnacentral:lncRNA from 14 species